rnacentral:rRNA from 1 species
GUAGGUGGCAAGCGUUGUCCGGAAUUAUUGGGCGCAAAGCGCGCGCAGGCGGUUCUUUAAGUCUGAUGUGAAAGCCCACGGCUCGACCGUGGAGGGUCAUUGGAAACUGGAGAACUUGAGUACAGAAGAGGAAAGCGGAAUUCCACGUGUAGCGGUGAAAUGCGUAGAGAUGUGGAGGAACACCAGUGGCGAAGGCGGCUUUCUGGUCUGUAACUGACGCUGAGGCGCGAAAGCGUGGGGGGAGCAAACAGGAUUAGAUACCCUGGUAGUCCACGCCGUAAACGAUGAGUGCUAAGUGUUAGGGGGUUUCCGCCCCUUAGUGCUGCAGCUAACGCAUUAAGCACUCCGCCUGGGAGUACGGCCGCAAGGCUG